AGGUCUACUUGUUCAGCCUCUGCAGCUUGGACAGAGACACAAACAUCACCUUCCAGACCAACAGGUGUCACUAUUUCAUCCACAACAUUGUUGCAGAGACAUCGUCCACGAUCGCAGAGACAUGGUCCAUGAUCGGAGAGACAUUGUUGAGGAUGAGGGAGACAUUGUCCAUGAUCAGAGACGUUGUCCACGAUUGCAGAGACCUUGUCAAAGAUGAGAGAGACGUUGUCCUUGAUCAGAGACAUUGUCCCAUGCUUCGUAGAGACCUUGCGAUAGAAUCGGCGGAGACGGGGGUCACCGAUUUGACGGCACUGCCCGCGAUCAUGGAGACAUUGUUGAUGUUCACAGAGACACCGUCUAUGAUCUCAGAGACAUCGUCCACAAUCACAAAGACAUUGUCCAUGAUCACAAAGACUUUGUCCAUAAUCUCAGAGACAUUGUCCGCGAUCACAGAGACGCAGUCCACGAUCACAGAGAGCUAUCGUACAAUGAAGAAGUUCUUUGAGACCAGGACAGAGGCCUCCACGUAAUUCACAAACAGUGUCACCACUUUGUCCACGACAUCGUCCACGAUCGCAGAGACAUGGUCCAUGAUCGGAGAGACAUUGUUGAGGAUGAGGGAGACAUCGUCCACGAUCAGAGACGUUGUCCACGAUUGCAGAGACCUUGUCAAAGAUGAGAGAGACGUUGUCCUUGAUCAGAGACAUUGUCCCAUGCUUCGUAGAGACCUUGCGAUAGAAUCGGCGGAGACGGGGGUCACCGAUUUGACGGCACUGCCCGCGAUCAUGGAGACAUUGUUGAUGUUCACAGAGACACCGUCUAUGAUCUCAGAGACAUCGUCCACAAUUACAAAGACAUUGUCCAUGAUCACAGAGACUUUGUCCAUAAUCUCAGAGACAUUGUCCGCGAUCACAGAGACGCAGUCCACGAUCAGAGAGCUGUCGUGCAAUGAGGAAAUUCUUUGAGACCAGGACAGAGGCCUUCAGGUGUCACUAUUUCAUCCACAACAUCGUCCACAAUCGCAGAGACAUCGUCCACGAUCGCAGGGACAUGGUCCAUGAUCGGAGAGACAUUGUUGAGGAUGAGGGAGACAUCGUCCACGAUCAGAGACAUUGUCAAUGAUCGCAGAGACCUUGUCAAAGAUGAGAGAGACGUUGUCCAUGAUCAGAGACAUUGUCCCAUGCUUCGUAGAGACCUUGCGAUAGAAUCGGCGGAGACGGGGGUCACCGAUUUGACGGCACUGCCCGCGAUCAUGGAGACAUUGUUGAUGUUCACAGAGACACCGUCUAUGAUCUCAGAGACAUCGUCCACAAUCACAAAGACAUUGUCUGUGAUCACAGAGACUUUGUCCAUAAUCUCAGAGACAUUGUCCGCGAUCACAGAGACGCAGUCCACGAUCACAGAGAGCUAUCGUACAUUGAAGAAGUUCUUUGAGACCAGGACAGAGGCCUUCAGGUAAUUC